rnacentral:lncRNA from 1 species
UACAAGUCCACAAACUUUAAAGAAGUAUACAGAUAUUUCCAGCUGUGGCAUCAUUUAAUAGAAUUAUUGUCUAGAGAGGAAAAAGGGGAACGAAGUUUGAGCAGAGAUAGCAAAAAAUCAAAAAUCAAAAGGAAGAGAUUCAUAAAGACAGGAUCAAAGCAAAGAAGGAUGAAGAGCUUAGGGAAGAUUCAAAGCUCCAACUCCUGCCCUUUAGGAAUGAGGGAGAGUGGGGUGGUGGCCCAGUCUUCAGAGAUAGGACCGCCGGGACAAGACACCUGAAGGAGAGAUGAUGUGCACCUUUGCGUAGAACCCCUUUAAGAGAAGAAAAGAAAAAUCAAGGAUUUGGAAUGUGGUUAUUAAUCAAAGAAGGAAGAGUAAAAUAAUGGAGCCACAGCCACAGCAGCUUAAAAAACCAUCCUUCCUUGCCCAGGCUGAGGAACACUCAUUUACUCUGUUCACCCCAAAUAGAGGAUUUGAUGUUUCCUUCCAGGUACAACUUCCUGUUCACAUCCCCCAUCUUCCCAAAAGUUGUGAAGGCGUUCUCUGCUUCCUUAUCCUUUCACCCUGCCCCUGAAGAUUGUUUCCCGUUUCGUGAGGAGGUAUAAAAACGUCUGUGCCCCUGAACGUACAAUAUCUUCAUUCUCAUCGUCUAGGAGACAGGAUGCGGUGAGGGUGUUAAGUGUCAGCCAUGUCAGAUUUCACUUCCUGCUUCCUAAUCAAUCCAAUAUGGGUCGACCCACCCCCGGGUACGCCC